rnacentral:rRNA from 1 species
UACGUAGGGGGCUAGCGUUGUCCGGAAUCAUUGGGCGUAAAGCGCGUGUAGGCGGUUCGGUAAGUCCGCUGUGAAAGUCGGGGGCUCAACCCUCGAAUGCCGGUGGAUACUGUCGGGCUAGAGUGCGGAAGAGGCGAGUGGAAUUCCUGGUGUAGCGGUGAAAUGCGCAGAUAUCAGGAGGAACACCAAUUGCGAAGGCAGCUCGCUGGGACGUUACUGACGCUGAGACGCGAAAGCGUGGGAAGCAAACAGG